UACGUAGGGCGCAAGCGUUGUCCGGAAUUAUUGGGCGUAAAGAGCUCGUAGGCGGCUUGUCACGUCGAUUGUGAAAGCCCGAGGCUUAACCUCGGGUCUGCAGUCGAUACGGGCUAGCUAGAGUGUGGUAGGGGAGAUCGGAAUUCCUGGUGUAGCGGUGAAAUGCGCAGAUAUCAGGAGGAACACCGGUGGCGAAGGCGGAUCUCUGGGCAUUACCUGACGCUGAGGAGCGAAAGUGUGGGGAGCGAACAGG
rnacentral:rRNA from 1 species